CACGUAGUUAGCCGUCCCUUUCUGGUAAGAUACCGUCACAGUGUGAACUUUCCACUCUCACACUCGUUCUUCUCUUACAACAGAGCUUUAUGAUCCGAAAACCUUCUUCACUCACGCGGCGUUGCUCGGUCAGACUUCCGUCCAUUGCCGAAGAUUCCCUACUGCUGCCUCCCGUAGGAGUCUGGGCCGUGUCUCAGUCCCAGUGUGGCCGAUCACCCUCUCAGGUCGGCUAUGUAUCGUUGCCUUGGUGAGCCGUUACCUCACCAACUAGCUAAUACAACGCAGGUCCAUCUGGUAGUGGUGCAAUUGCACCUUUCAAGCAGCUAUCAUGCGAUAUCUACUGUUAUGCGGUAUUAGCUAUCGUUUCCAAUAGUUAUCCCCCGCUACCAGGCAGGUUACCUACGCGUUACUCCACCCCGUUGCCAACUCCAUUACCCGGAAAGAGCAAACGCCUCCGUUCCUUCACGUCGUUUCCUACUUGCUAGUGUUACUUAGGCACGUCCGCC
rnacentral:rRNA from 1 species